ensembl:lncRNA
CAAAACCCAAAGGAUAUAAUAUCUGGAAAGAUGGGAAUCAAAUUCUGAAGAAAUUCAAUUACAUUUAAAUAUAAAUAAACUUGUAGCUUAGUCCAUUAAAAUCAUUGGCAUAAACACAGAUCCUUUCUCUCUUUGUAGAGAGAUGUGAAGUUCUGAACCUCUCCAUCUAUCCUCUCUAUUAACUAUGAAUUUGAGAAAGGUGGCAAAUUUCCCAAAAACUUUAGAAAAUUCAGUAGCCUGUUAAAGACAACUAAUAAGUAAAUUUAUUUUAGUAGCUAUGGAGGAAAAAGUUUUUCUUUGUACUGUGAUAUUUUCCACUGCAAAUCUACAUAAAGUUCCAUUUUGUUAUGAAAAUAACAAUAUUUUGAGGUUUAUCUUUAAAGCUACUUAUUUACAGGUGAUAGCCAUCUUGAUUACACAAACUCAGCCCUUCUUAUUAUUUCAAUUAAUUAGGUCACAACAGAGGAAAAUAAGGUAUCUCUUGUCACAGCCUGAUGCCCCUUCUAGACUUUUGGGGACUUGGAAUCAAUUGACUUCUCAAAAUCUUAAAAGAUCUUCAUUAUGGCAAGACUGCAGCUGGAGGCAGUUCUCUACUCAGCCCGCAGUGCCGAGUGACACAGGCAGGCGACAUCAUCUGAGUACUAACUUCUACUACAUCCAGACAGACUGCGAGAACCAUUUCCAAAUCGUGGGAAGACGUCAGAGAACCAAAGGGGUGGCUGCAAAGUUUUGGACAAGACCUCUACAGGCAACUGGAAGCACAGUGAACCCAGUUUCAUCCUCCUUCUGCUUCCUCUGGGGAUCUCUAGACACUGCCAACAAUGUCUGUGCUGCAGACUUCCUAACUGACUUGAGGAAGAAAGGAAGAAUUGGUUACAUGUGAAAGCUCCAUGACAGAAACAAGGAAAGUUCUUUACAGCAGUCACUUUCUUCUUGUGCCUCAUGAGCCAGUUUGGGUCACAGGACGGUCCAUAAACAUGGACCAUUUUGUUAUACCAUUUACAAACAUAAAUUCUAGGUAGAUUAAAAAUUUAAAUGUAAAAGACAAACAAUAUUUGCAAGACAACUGGGAGAAUAUCUGUACAAACACGUUGUGGGGGAGGAGGGAGAAACCUUAAAAGCAACAAAGAAAACAUCACUGGAAAAGAUUAAGAGAUUUGUUACAAAGAAAUUUAAACUUACUAUGUGGGAAAAUAUACCACAAACAAAGUAUAAAAACAAAUUAGACUGAGAGAAAAUUUGCAUAAUAUGUACAGCAAUAACAGGUUGAUAAGAAGGACACAAAAAAUAAAGUUUGGCAGUGAUGUAAACA